rnacentral:lncRNA from 1 species
UGAUUAUAUCAAGCCACGCUCGGGGGGAUGGUGGUGAGAAGCCAGGCGCGGAGGUGGAAAAGACCUCCACGCAAUCCACAGUGCGGGGGGAGGGGGAGGAAGCGGAGGGAGUAGAGGGGAAGGAGAAGUAGGCAGGCACUGGACGCCUCCCGGGCUCCUUUUCCGCCAGACCCGGGCGCUGCUUGGGUCAGGGCGAAGCCUGGCCCUUCCUGCACCUUUCCGGGCGAGGUCCCCUAAACUAGGCGAGCAGCGUUUGGUAAUGGUAGUGGAGAGGGGUCGCCGUCCUUCCAACCUCAAACCCCUUUCCCCAUAAAGCUUCCCACCUUUUAGUCCGGAGGCUCCUCCCUCUCCUCAAUGCGUUCCCUUCCCUCAAGCGCUGCCACCAGCUGGGUAGAGAGGGCCACUGAAGCGGGAACAGAGAGAGGCCAGGGCUCGGACCCUCCCAGUUCCGCCUGGCAGCCUGUGCGCCGGCGGUUAGUUGAGUCAUCUGAUCCUGACUGCCGGAGAGGAACGCAUACCCAGAGGAGCGGCUCACCAAGCCCAGGCGGGAGGUGGAAGCUGCAGGGUCACCCGGGGCCCUGGCGACCAAAGGAUUUGCCCCUCACUGCGAAUGUUAUUACUUCCCUUUGCGGCUCAGCAACAACUCUGGGCAUAAUGAAAGAGUCUGGCAAAAAGUUAAAUGCCUGUCUUCUGUUUCCAGGCUGGAGUGAAAAGGAGUGUCAGGAGCCAGAUAGAAUCUGCCUGUUUGCAUCUUCAUCAGCUUUAUAACAUCGUGCUUUCUUUCCGCCUCCAACCCUAGUAGGUGAUUUAAAUAAACUCAGG